CUGUGAUAACCACUUGGCAUGUAUAAUUCCAUGAGCCUGUUGCCACAACCCUGUAAGGUGGUGCCUUGGUCAUUCCCUUUUGCCAAUGAGGAAGCAGGCUCCUUGCUCGUGAUGGCAGAGUCAGGAGAGCCUGAACUUGAUGGAUCAGCUGGCACCACCCAGAUCGAUUAAUUGGCUCAUCUGAUCUGGGGGCCCCCCCGACCCAGGAACUGACUCAGCACAAGGAGACAGCUCCGACUCUCCAUGAUUUCAUCCCUGACCAAUCAGCACUCCUGGCUCACUGGCUCCCCACCCACCAAGUUGUCCUGAAACACUCUGCUCACCCAAUGCUUGGGGAGAGUGAUUUGAGUAAUAAUAAAACUCUGGUCUUCUGGUUCUAGAUCCUUGAGGAAUCGCCACACUGUCUGCCACAAUGGUUGAACUAAUUUACACCCCCACCAACAGUAUAAAUAAAAACAAAAC